AGCUAGUUGGUAAGGUAAAGGCUUACCAAGGCGAUGAUGCAUAGCCGAGUUGAGAGACUGAUCGGCCACAUUGGGGACUGAGACACGGCCCAAACUCCUACGGGGAGGCAGCAGUAGGGAAUCUUCCACAAUGGACGCAAGUCUGAUGGAGCAACGCCGCGUGAGUGAAGAAGGUUUUUCGGAUCGUAAAAGCUCUGUUGUUGGUGAAGAAGGAUAGAGGUAGUAACUGGCCUUUAUUUGACGGUAAUCAACCAGAAAGUCACGGCUAACUACGUGCCAGCAGCCGCGGUAAU
rnacentral:rRNA from 1 species